AUAUCUCUCNGUACGGGAAGGAUGAGAAGCUUCGACUAAGGUUCGAUUCGAGCGAAAGCGAGAAAGCGUUGCCGCAGGCAACGACCCGAAGGGCGAAACGCGCAGCGCUGAGUCAUCCUUCCCCCACCACCA
rnacentral:sRNA from 4 species